AGUGAACGCUGGCGGCAGGCCUAAUACAUGCAAGUCGAACGGCAGCACAGUGGAGCUUGCUCCAUGGGUGGCGAGUGGCGGACGGGUGAGGAAUACAUGGGAAUCUGCCCAGUCGUGGGGGAUAACGUAGGGAAACUUACGCUAAUACCGCAUACGCCCUUCGGGGGAAAGCCGGGGACCUUCGGGCCUGGCGCGAUUGGAUGAGCCCAUGUUCGAUUAGCUAGUUGGCGGGGUAAAGGCCCACCAAGGCGACGAUCGAUAGCUGGUCUGAGAGGAUGAUCAGCCACACUGGGACUGAGACACGGCCCAGACUCCUACGGGAGGUAGCAGUAGGGAAUAUUGGACAAUGGGCGCAAGCCUGAUCCAGCCAUGCCGCGUGAGUGAAGAAGGCCCUCGGGUUGUAAAGCUCUUUUGUCCGGGAAGAAAAGCAUCGGGCUAAUACCUCGGUGUUCUGACGGUACCGGAAGAAUAAGCACCGGCUAACUUCGUG
rnacentral:rRNA from 1 species